UUCACAGAAUGGAUAAGAGAAAUAUAAUGCCAGACGCAUCUAUACUCUCAAUUGUUGUGGACUUGCUUGUUAAGAAUGAAAUUAGUUUAAACUCGAUUCCACAAUUCCAGAGACACAAGUAAGUCAAUGAGCUGAAUGCUGAUUUACUUGCAUGUAUUUUCUGCCUAAAAUCUGGAUCUGGAGAAUCCCAUUCUUAUUACAACACGUGAAGUAUUGUUGCGUAGUGAUGGCAUGUCCCAGGUUCUGUUCAUAGAUUCUGUUUGCAGAUAUGGAUGACUCAUCAGAUAAGUUUCAAAGUCUGGCAACUUUUUGUUGUAAAAUUACUUUUUAUUAUUCAGGUCAUAUGUUUUCCGUCUAUAAUGCAUCUUUUUCAUUAGCUGGAAGUGCAAAGUUUUUAUGCUCUUUCUGUGUGACCACUUUUUCUUCUCUAAAUAGAUAAAAUGGCAUCUAGUUUUUCAUUUGUGAGGCUACUAGGUCUAUGCUGAAACUUUCUGUUAGUUAAAUUGAUUGUCUUUGAUAUCUAGAACUUCUAGUUGAACUAAUUUGUACUUUGAGUAUAUGAGAUUGCUGGCUGUAAUGGGAAUUGAUGCCAAAUUAAUUAUGCAUCAAGUUUUUCAACGUGUUCAUCUUUUAUUUCUGUUCACAUUUUGGCUCUGGACAUGCUGGAUUGUUUUUGGUUUCAGUGAUACAAAACAUCUAACUAAUUGUCCAAAGUUUUUCAUUCCUUGUGACAUAGCAUUCAAUUGAAUGGUGACUCAUGAAUCAUGAUUGUGUGUUUUGGUAUUUGUAUACUAUGUAUUGGCAAGACAAAGUUUGUUGAAACUGAGAAACUUUUUUCCGCCUUCCAUUCUUGUUUCAUAUUCUUAUGCUAACAAAUCUUGAUCCUGAUGAGUCUCCUCUUUUCUUUACAACCCCCAUAUAAAGUCUUGGCCAUAAGCCUCAAGGCCUAUUGGCUAUUGCAGCAGUGAGUUCACUCUCUGGAAUCAAAUCUUUCAAAUACGAGGAAAUUUGAAAAAAUUGCAAAUGUCUACAAAGCAAAUGAUCGAAAGGUCCUUUUUGUUAUCACUCACACAACAUUACUCAGACUUUGUCAGAGUAUCCAUGUUUUACAGUUGGUCCUGUUGUGCAAACAGCAUUUCUGAUUAUUCCAGAAGACAAUUCUUCGGAGCAUGUAUUUGAGAUGCAUGUAGAGCGUUGGAAUUAUAUGAUUAAUUCUCUUUAAUUUCCAGCCAUAGUUCUAUGCAGGCCAGUUAAUCCCCUUUUUUGUACCCCCCCCCCCCCCCUUCCUUUUUUGCUAUGGACUGUAUUUCCUUUUUUUUCUAGUUUUUACUUGCGUUGACAAUUUGAGCUUGCUGUCUUGUGGUUUUAGAACCUGCUAAAGUAAGCGUACUAGUGACAAUGAAGAAGGGGAAGGGUUUACUCGUCAUUUUCUUUUUGAAAGCAAAGCGUUUAAUGUGGUGAUUUUUUUUUUAUCUACGUUGUGAAAAAAUUUGACUGAUUUUGAAGAUCCUUAAAGAUCGUCCAUCUUGGUUCUGGCAUUGUUGCAGCCUUGAAGUUUGCAAAACGAUUCCUGCUGGAUAAAUUGAACAGCUGCCUCUUUGAUGGAUUAUGUAAAUCUGGCAGACUUGAGUUUGCAUGUGAAUUGUUUCGUAGUUUGCCUCGUCCAGUCCUAAUGGCAGAUGCUGUAACAUAUAACAUCAUGAUCCAUGGGCAUUGUGACGACGGCCGAAUGGAUAAGGCACAUGAUUUAUUUAUUGAAAUGGAAGAAAAUGCUGUGGCACCCAAUGUGAUCACAUUUGGUACGUUUAUCCAUGGUUUUAGCCAAAUCAAUGAGCCAUCAAAAGUUAUUGACCUUCUUCACAAGAUGAGGGAGAAAAAAGUGAUGCCAGAUGCAUCUUUAGUUUCAAUUGAUGUGGACUUACUUGUAAAGAAUGAAAUUAGUCUGAACCCGCUUCCGUCAUUUCCUGUCCAAGAGCGACAGGGGGAAAUUGAUGGGUCAAAUGUCAAGUUGUAGCAGCAUGUGCUUUCAGCCCAAACUCCUGAUCUGCAGCAUCUCAUUCAUGUUACAAAAUGACAUGUCGCCUGGUGACAGCAUGUUCUCUACGGUGCUGUUAAUGGAUUCUGAUUGUUCUUGUGAUCUGGAGAGUUUCAUUCAUAUUACAGAUCCUGAUCAGGACGAGCUAGCAUAUGUGAUCACCAACUGUACAUGGUUGUUAAUCCCCUUUUUUGUAACCAACCCCCCCUCCCUCUUCAUCAUUUAUUUCUGUUAACAAUUAAUAGCACAGCUUGUCUUCGCAGCUUCAUUGGUUCCUCUCAAAAAUAAUCUUGUAAAGGCAAUUUUUUUUUGGCAUGGUAAAUGCUAGAUUGUUUGUGGUCUGAAUGAUACUACACAUCUAAGUAAUUGCCCAAAUUUUUUGUUCCUUGUUACAUGGCAUUCAAUUGAAUGAGGACUCGUGAUUGUGUGUAUUGGUAUUUCCGUAUUUGUUAUACUAUGUAUUGGCAAGACAAAGUUUCUUGAAACUGACAAACUUUUCUCUAUGAAGAUUGAAGACAAUAUGGUAAGAUAAAAUUUAUCAAAAGCAUAUAUGCUUGCCAGGGAUGGACCUUUGAUUAUUAGUCCUCGCCUUUCGUUCUUGUUUCAUAUUCUUCUGCUAACAAAUCUUGAUCACGAUGAGUCUUCUUUUUUUAUAAAAAUAAAAACCCACACGUAAAGUCUUGGCCAUAAGCCUCUAGACCUAUUGGCUGUUGCAGUGGUGAGUUCACUCUCAGGAAUCAUAUCUUUCAAAUUCGAGCGAAUUUGAAGAAGCUCGAAUUUGAAGAAAUUUCAAAUGCCUACAAAGCAAAUUGCGUAAAGGUCCUUUCACUUAUUAUUGGAGAAGACCAUUUGUUGAAGCAUGUAUUUGAGAUGCGCGGAGAACCUUUGGAAUUAUAUGAUUAAUUCACUUUAAUCUCCAGCCAUAGUUCCAUACAGCCCAGUUAAUCUUUUUUUUUUUUUUUUUGGCUUUUGGAUUUUGUUUCCUUUAUAUAUAAAGGAAAUCGGGACUCAAUUGUUGGGAGUCCAAUCACUUUUUUCUCUUUUAACUUGCUAUUUUUGUUGUCCGAAAUUAUCUGAAGUUCCAUGCAUGCUCCAAUAGAACAAAUAAUACAGGUUAUGAUCGACUUUUUUUUUUUUUUAUUUUCCAAAUAAAGGAACCACCUGCAUCAAUACUCCAUAAGCAAGUUUUUUUUUUGGCUGCACCUUAUAUUUGUCACACUCCUUGUACUAGUGCCCAAUGAAACCACAAUAGAAGCAAAAAUCUGACAAUCACUCAUAUACUACUGUAAUUGGAACAUCAUCUUCACCUUCAAGUUCUAAAUAAAUAAUUUUCUUCAGUGGUUGUGUGAUAUCAAUUGAGAUGCUUACUCUGGCAUACUGACCAAUGCACUCUUCUUCCUCGUCCGCAUCAACUUCUUCAACUAUACCAAUUGCCUCUCCCAACGCUCUGAUUAUUUGCUGGUCUAUACACCCAACUGGGAUACUAUGAAGUUGUACCCAAAGGCAGCAUGAGUAAAUGAUUGUUUUGUUAUUUCCCCAAUUCCAUUUGCCUUUUUUAGAUAGGGCUGGGCAAAUAACCCGACCCGAUCCGAUCCGAAAACAAUCGGGUUCGGAUCGGAUCGAGUUUUUAACAUAACCCGAUCGGAUUUAAUUUCGUCAACCCGAUCCGAUUCGAAAAUCCGAUCGGAUUUGGCUAUUGAAAAAAAAAAUAAAAUAAAACACCCACACACAAAGGGGUGAAAAACACAACACUGACACUCAAACUCACUGACACACACCCACCCCUCAUCCACACACACACACUGACACACCCACCACCCACCCCCCACCCCCCAUCCACAAAAAAUCGCAAUAGAUAGCCUUUUACUCACAUUUCAGAUUUCACAGCCUCACGCUUCACUCUUUUCUUUGGUUCUUCUCCAGUUUUCACCCUUAAAUCUUCACAGCCUCGCUUUCUUCUUUUUAAGUCUUCACUCUUCAGUUUUCACAAAUCGAUUUCUCACACAAUCGGGUUUCACAGAUCGGGUUUCAGUCACAAAAGCAAACCGAUGGUCACUCAAAGACGCAGCGCAAGAACCGAAGAUCAUUUGCAGACACAGCCACCGGAUCUGUGGUUCCGUCCGUCACCAAGUUUCUCGCCUCCAAGCUCCACUUUAACCCAGCAACCUGACUUCUCCAACCCGCAACCCGAGCCUUGUGUUUUGAAAUUUUGAUGGUUUUUCUUGAUGUUGUGAUUAUUAUCAUAUAUAAAUUGUAAAAUUUUAAUGUUCACCAGCCAAUGAUAAAGAAAAUCAGUUAUAAAGAAAGCUGUAAUGUAUUUUUUUUCCAAUGAUGGGCAUAAAUUUUUUCACUUUCUAGUCCAAACUAAUUUUAAUCCGAAUCCGAUCCGAACUGAACUCAACCCGAUUUUUUGACCCGAUCCAAAUAUAUAUUCGGAUCGGAUCGGAUCGGAUUACAAGUUCGGAUUGAAUUCGAAUGAAUUUCUGCCCAACCCGAAAUUCGAUCGGGUCGAACCGAACCCAAUCCGAAUUCGAUUUUGCCCAGCGCUACUUUUAGAACUAUCAGAGGUCGUUCAAAAUGUCAUGGCCCACUUGAUAAAUUUCUCAUCUUAUCAACUUCAAAGGCAAAUUUAACUUAUUCUGCUAUUCUGCAUACUUGUUGUAAUGCUCACUUAAGACCCUCUCUAGUAACUCCUCUUAGAUGUAAGACUUUGCCCAGCAGACAACCCUCAACUAGCUCUCUCGCAUUCCCUUCCAUGACAUUACCAACAACUACUUUGCUCUCUUUUCCUUCUUCUAAUGUAAUAACUUUACACUUGCGGAUUAGUUCUUCUGUUUCCAUGAGGCACUAAAAUAUAAAUCCACUGUGAUAACUCUUGAGUAUCUACCACUUCCUCUGUAAUUAAGACUCAACAACUUAGAUGAAAAACUUAAAACUAAAAGAGACACCCAACACGUGAGCGACUUUUGCAAUCUUAUAGGCUACUACCCUUUCAUUCUAGAUUCUCACUCAAAGAGAGAGAACCUGUGAAGAAAGACUUCUACAGGUAGGAGAGCACUUACACAGUAGAUUAUUUAUAUUUCUUUGGACUGACUUUUUUACUUUAUUAAAGACAAAAACAACAUAAACAAAGACAAAAGAUUAACAAAAGCAUCAAUUGCCAAAGAGUUGAGAGUAUUAUUAUAUUUUAGGAACUUAGGUUAUGACCAACUUAAAAGAAGCAGUUAGGGCUUGUUCGGUACCGUUUUAAAAGCCUUAUUUUCAUUUUUGUUUUGGGAGUAUAAAUAUAAUACAUAUUCAGCAGGUUGAAUCCAAAAAAAUAAAUUAUAAAACAAAUAAUUGAUAUUCACUUUUACAGUUAUAAAAUUAAGAACCUGUUGAACAUGUUCUCAAACAAAUUACAAAUUAAAUUAAAAAAAUAAACCCCAAAACAAAAUCUAAAAAGUUAUCUUUCUCUCCCAAAAUCUUAUCCCCUCCCUCUCGUUAUCUCUUCACAACACUUCCUUCUUCAUGGUUGAUACUUCUCCUUUAACCACAACCCACAUGAACUGUGCACCGAUCUCUCUCUCCCCUUCCUAUUUAUCUAGGUCUACUUCAAUGCUCUCUUCCUCUCGGUGGAUGUUACUUGUUCAUCAACUGCAAUCCAUUGUCGCAAGGUACUACGUCUGAAUAUUUGACCAAAAACAUGUCAGGACAAAGUGAUGUCUAUCAUGGUUUAUUGCUGCAAGUGCAUUAUUUUCUUUGUACUAAAGUGAAUCUUUGAUGUAUUUAUUAAAUUUGGUGGAGCAAUCUUAGUUAAUUUUGAUUAUUUAUAUAUGCAUUUAAUUUCAUUUUUAAUAAUUCAUGUGCAGGAAAUAUGGAUUCUUGGCUUUGCUUGGACUGAUGGUUUGCGCAAUUUCAUUUGGAAUCAAUCAGCUUCGAGGAUAAACUCUUGAAGUUCAUCCUUUCUUGUGCAUGGGACUUGCUUUUCUUCCAUCCAACUUUUUUGUUCUCUUUUUCUAUGGUAGCAGUUUUUUGUUUUGUGUUGGUGGGAAACUUCAUGCUGCAUUUUUGUCAAACUCUGUUGACAUACCCUAAUCAGUACUGACUUUGCUGCAUGGCGAAAGCAUAAGCUCAUAGUUGACAUUGUUGUUAUUAGAGCUUGUUUCCAUAAAAUAAGUGUAAUUUGAAAGUACAUUGUACCCUAUUGAAUUUGAAUUAUCCCCAACAAGUGUUGAUGCAUGAUGUCUAUCAUGUAAUUUUUUUUAUAAUUAUUUUGUUUAAAUUAUAUGUGUUGUAAUAUAUAACUUAAUUAUAGUGUAAAAACAAUGGCAAUGUAAUUUUUUGUAUUAAUGCUAAUACUAAAACUUUAUCAUCAUGAAAUUUUUUAUAAUUAUUUUAUUUAAAUUAUUUAUGAUAUGUUUGCGUAUUAAUUAAAUAAACAAUUAGUUUUUACUAAAAACUAUGACUUACAUGUUUAGUAAAAAUUGUUCAUGAAAAUAGUACUACAAAACACAUUUUCUCUGAUUUUAUCUUUUUCAAUUGUGUUUAUCAAACACAUGUUACUGUUUUCAAUUUUAAAAUACAAGCUAUAGAAAAUGAUAUCAGAUGCCUAUUUAAUUCAAAAUGAUGCAACUGCAAAACACUAUUUUUAUUCUCAUUUUUGUUUUCAGAAAAUACUAAUUCAGAAACGAUAACAAACAAGAACUUAGUUUUAGUACGAAUAAUGUUGUGUUAGUUUUACAUGCUUACAUGCACCCUUAGAUUUAUUAGAAGUAUCAACCCAACCCCCUAGUUACCGUUGACUGAUAUUUAACCCGUUGACUGAUGUUAACUCUUGAAAGUAACUAUAACAUUUAUAUUGUAAUCUCACUUUAUUAACUAAUAAAUUUUAAAAAUAUAAACAGAUCAAUAACAACAAAAUAAUUAAAGUUGAAAUCCAAGAAAUUACCUAAAAACCAUACAUGAAAACCAAAAUGCAUAAAAUUUCAUUAAUUUAAGUUGUGACAAUGAGUAGUCCACAUUAUAUGCAAAAACUUGUUGUGAAAAUUUUAAUAUACUCGCAAGCGCACGAAUCUAGAGAUAGAAAAGUGGUAACGAGGUCGAUCCUACAGGGAUUGUUAUAAAUUGAAAAGUCUAAUUUAAAUCUAAAAUUAAUAUUAAUUCUAACCUAGUUGAGCAAAUUGAGUUUUAAGAGAAAUUAAACUAAUUAAACUAAGAAAACAAUUAAAGUAAAUGAGAAUUUAAUGAGAUAAAAAUUACCAAGGUUUCGGAAUCCACCACUAUUCAAUUAGUAAUUAUCUAAAUAUUAAUUAAUCCCCAAUUUUAGAGUGACAACUCGAAAUCAAUCUAUGUCAUCUCAUGGAUAUAACAAUUAAGCCCAAGUAAUUAAAUCUAAUGUAGGUUCUUUUUCUACUUAAUAAUACGAUAUCUAAGUAUCCCAUGUAAACAUAUUGAAUAACAAAGAGUCAAAGUUUACUAAGCACUCUAUGUAAACAAUUUAAUGAAAGACAUAGAGUCAAAAAUAAUCAUGUAUAAACUUUAUAGAUCCAAGCAUAGAAUUAAUCGAAUAUUAAUCCUAACAAUCAAUAAUGCAUGACAGAAUUGAUGAAAAGAUUUUAUUAACAUCCAAUUAAUCAUGUGAAAUAAAAACCAUAAUCAUCAAAGAACAUAUAUAGGGAAUUAAUUAAAUAAAAAGAUAAUUAUUUCAUUGAAUAGGGUUUCAUCCUUAACCUCAGUAUAAGAAAAUUAGCUAGACAUACUUGAAUUGUGAGCAACAAAAAAAAUAAAAUCAGCCAUGGAAGCCGAAAUAUUGCUACUGCCGAUUGCUCUCUUCCAGCCUUUUGUUUCUGUCCUCUGGCCGCCUCGCUCUCCAAAAGCCAAAACUCCCUUUUAUAAUCUUUGAAAUGGGCCCCAUCUCUUAAAUCCUAAAGCCAAAAGGCUUGCCUUUUAUUUCCUUUAGCUCUCACACGUGACCACCUUUGGAAUUGCUUUAAGAUUCCUUUUCCAAUUAUGAAAGCCAAGUGCGGGUCCCAUUUAAAUUGCUUUCCAAAUAUUACAAAGCCAUGCACGUGUAACUUAACUAAGCUAAAGCCAAUGUUAUGCUUAAAUUCUUCUUCAUGUGCUAGAUCAAUUAAUUUACUAGCUUCGGUUUCCUCGGCUUCACUUCCACAUGCAUGUAUGUCUAAUUGCUUCUAAAAUCAAUUAAUUAACGCUUCCAAAAUUGAGCUCCCUUAUAUCCUUUUUUAUCCAUAAUCUUCAAUUAAUCCCCUAUUCAAUAAAAUAAUUUAAUUAAUUAAAAAUAACAAAUAAAAAUAACUAGUAAUUAUAUAAUUAAGGGUAAAAUAUGUAUAUAAAUUAUGCUCAUCAAAUACCCCCAAACUUAGAUUUUGCUAGUCCUCGAGCAAAACUAAAAUUUAAAACAAAAAUAAAAAUAACAACACAAAAAGUAAAUCCUAACUAAACCACUUUCGCAGGUAAUCGAGAUUGCAUUUAGCACAUGCAACAAGCCUUUAAACCCCUAGGCGGCCCUAGUGGACGAGUUAUAGUCUCGUGAGGGCUUCAGUGAUGAUACCCACAAACAUCAUUUUAAAAAAAUAAAUAAAUUAAAUUAAAUCAAAAGAACGAAAAACUUUAAAUAAACCAUGAAAAAUAGCCCCAAAGAUUGCAAAAAUUAUAUAGCUCAAAGAAAAUUUCAAAUAUUAGCAAAGUUCUAACUUUAAUUCAAUAGUCAAUCCCACCUCUCUUUCAAUUCUUGUAGUGUGUGUGUGAAAUCAAUUCAAUCAAAUCCAUUCCCAAAAUCCUCAACAUCAACAGCCUUCGCCUCAAACAAAGAACAGAGUAGGUCAAACUAAUCUUAUCAUCUUGAUCUCCAAUUUUUUUCUCUCACAGGCUUUUAUGUGCAUUUUCUUUUGAUUUUUUUUUCAGCACAUGCACUUGAUUUUUUUUUUUCUUCUCUUUUUUUUUUUCAACCAUAGCCAGGAGCUUUCACUCUACCCCUUAAGGUAGCCUUCUUCUCAUGGUAGAUUAUCUUCUACAUACUUGUGGUACAUAGGCCCAAAUUACUCAAGGAUAGCUUCACUCUUAAGGGUUAUAGGUAGCUAUUUCUGACUUUGGUGCCCGUGUAUACUAUUUUGUAUUGUGGAGAUAAGAAUCAAGACAAACAGUCAUUUACUCUAUCUAAAAUUCUCAACUCAGGCUGCGUCAAUAUCAAAUUUCAAGUCAAAAUUACGAAAGAAUUGAUAUUAGUGCUCAUGGUUUAAAGAAUCUCAAUCAAGAGGAACUAACACAAGAAUCAAGUAUAAACUAAGACAAUAUUCAACCCUUUCUAAAAACCAUAUUCAUUGUCAAUCAAAUUUUUAUCAUUGGCUUUUCACAUAAAAACAAAAAACAACAAAUUUUUUUUUUAAUUUUUAUUUAAAAUUUUCAAUUUUUUUUUGUUUUUUUUUUUUAACAAACAAAACACACACUAUUCCCACCCCCAAACUUAUUUGGAAAAUUGUCCUCAAUGUUGCACAAACAAAAGAUAUGCAUGCAAACAAAUGAAAGAAAUAAUAAUAAUAAUAAUAAUAAUAAUAAUAAACAUAAAUAAUAAAAAGAAAGUUGGAGAGAACACACCUGGAUGGGCUGGGAAAGCUUUAAAAAAAAAGAACAACUAAAAAGAAAACAUUAGAAAAGAAAAAUACUAGAAAAGAAGAAAACAUUAGAAAAGAAAAAUACUAGAAAAGAAAAACAAACAAAGAGAAGAAAACCUACUAUUAAAAUAAAACAAGAGUGCAUCUAAAAGUAUCUCCUCAACUUCUGGUGUUCUUAACUCUAAAAAUGAUUUCAAUCUUUGCCCAUUGACCUUAAAUAAAUCACCGCCCAUUGACCUUAAAUAAAUCACCAUUUUUAGGGUUUUCAAUCUCAAUUGCUCCAUAAGGGAAAACAGUACGAACUAUAAAAGGACCAGACCAUCGAGAACGUAACUUACCUGGAAAGAGAUGCAAUCGGGAAUUAUAUAAAAGUACUUUCUGACCUGGUGUAAAGGCUUUUCUCAAAAUGUGUUUGUCAUGAAAGACUUUCAUUCGCUGUUUAUAAAUCUUGGCAUUCUCAUAUGCAUCAUUCCUGAUCUCUUCAAGUUCUGCUAGUUGUAAUCUUCUCUUGGAACCAGCCUGCUGCAUGUCAAAAUUGAAUUUCUUGAUCGCCCAAUAUGCACGAUGCUCCAACUCUACUGGCAGAUGACAUGCUUUUCCAUACACAAGUCGAUAAGGUGACAUCCCAAUUGGUGUUUUAAAAGUAGUCCUAUAUGCCCACAAUGCAUCAUCAAGUCUCAAAGACCAAUCCUUUCUAUCUAGCCUAACUGUUUUCUCUAGAAUCUGCUUGAUCUCUCUAUUAGAAAUCUCUACUUGGCCACUGGUUUGAGGAUGAUAUGGGGUGGCAACCUUAUGUGUAAUGGAAUAUUUGUCCAAAAGAGUUUUGAAAGGUUUAUUGCAAAAAUGGGUGCCACCAUCACUAAUGAUUGUUCUAGGGAAACCAAAACGAGACAGAAUAUUACUCUUCAAGAAUUUCACUACAACCCUAUGAUCAUUGGUUUUGCAUGGAAUAGCUUCAACCCACUUCGACACAUAGUCCACUGCAACCAAUAUAUACUGAUAACCAAAAGAUGGAGGAAAAGGUCCCAUGAAAUCAAUACCCCAUACAUCGAAGAUCUCAACCACAAGAAUAGGAUUGAGUGGCAUCAUGUUCCGCUUUGAAAUGCUACCCAUACGUUGGCACCUAUCACACAAAGAACAGAAAAUAUAAGCGUCAUGAAAAAGAGUAGGCCAAUAAAAACCACACUGUAAAAUUUUUGUUGCUGUCUUUUUAGCACUAAAGUGGCCUCCACAAGCUUGUUCAUGGCAAAAUGAGAUAACACUUUGAAUUUCAUUAUCGGGAACACAUCGCCUAAUAAUCUGAUCAGCACAAUAUUUAAAUAAAUAGGGAUCAUCCCAAAAGAAAUCUUUCACUUUAGAUAAGAACUUUGUUCUAUCUUGCUUAGUCCAGUGCUCUGGGAUUUGACCUGUAGCAAGGUAAUUAACUAUAUCAGCAAACCAUGGUACGACAUUUACACUCAUAAGUUGCUCAUCUGGGAAAGACUCAUUCAAAGGUAAAGAUUCUGGAAUAAAUUUAAGAUCAAGGCGAGAUAAAUGAUCUGCUACAACAUUUUCAGAACCUUUUUUAUCUCUAAAUUCAAUGUCAAAUUCUUGUAAAAGCAACACCCAACGAAUCAAUCUUGCCUUGGCAUCUUUCUUAGUAAACAAAUAUUUUAAAGCAGCAUGAUCAGUAAAAAUAAUCACUUUACAACCUAUAAGAUAAGAUCUGAAUUUAUCAAGUGCAAACACCACAGCUAGCAUUUCUUUUUCUGUAGUUGAAUAGUUCAACUGUGCAUCAUUGAGUGUCAUACUAGCAUAAUAAAUCACAUAAGGCACACGAUCUAAUCUUUGUCCUAAAACUGCUCCUACAGCAUAAUCAGAUGCAUCACACAUAAUUUCAAACGGCAAAUCCCAAUUAGGUGGCUGAAUGAUAGGUGAAGAAGUCAACAAUUUCUUAAGCUUUGCAAAACCAUCAAGACAAGAUUCAUCAAAGAUAAAAGGUGCAUCCUUAACAAGUAAAUUGCAUAAAGGUCUAGAAAUUUUACUAAAAUCUUUAAUGAAUCUUCUAUAAAAACCAGCAUGUCCAAGGAAAGAUCUUACUUCUUUUACAGAUUUGGGAUGUGGAAGAUUAGAAAUUAAAUCCACCUUAGCUUUGUCGACUUCUAUUCCUUUGCUGGAAAUUAUAUGACCAAGAACAAUACCUUGUUUUACCAUGAAGUGACAUUUUUUCCAAUUUAGAACCAAGUUCUUUUCUUUACAUCUCUGCAAAACUAAUGUUAGAUGCUGCAAACAUUCAUCAAAAGAAUCUCCAUAAACAGAAAAAUCAUCCAUGAAUAUUUCAAGAAAUCUCUCAACCAUAUCAGAAAAAAUACUAAGCAUGCAUCUUUGAAAGGUAACAGGUGCAUUGCAUAAACCAAAUGGCAUUCUCCUAUAUGCAAAAGUUCCAAAUGGACAAGUAAAAGUAGUUUUCUCCUGGUCCUCUGGAGCUAUAGGGAUCUGAUUAUAACCUGAAUAUCCAUCUAGAAAACAAUAAAAAUCAUGACCUGCAAGUCUAUCAAGCAUUUGAUCAAUAAAUGGAAGAGGAAAAUGAUCUUUUCUUGUAAAUGAAUUCAAUUUUCUAUAAUCAAUACAAACACGCCAACCUGUAGUUACUCUAGUGGGAAUUAAUUCAUUAUUAGCAUUAGUAACUACUGUAAUACCAGAUUUCUUAGGAACUACUUGCACAGGGCUAACCCAAGAGCUAUCUGAAAUAGGAUAAAUAAUUCCUGCAUCUAAUAAUUUGAUUACUUCAGCUCUUACCACUUCUUUCAUGUUAGGAUUUAGCCUACGUUGCAUCUCCCUAAUAGGUUUAGCAUUUUCUUCAAGAUGAAUACGAUGCAUGCAAUCUACUGGAUUAAUACCUUUAAUAUCAGCAAUGGUCCAUCCUAUUGCCUCCUUAUGCUCUUUUAGAAUACCUAACAACUGACCUUUUUGCUCAAGAUCGAGGGAAGAAGAAAUAAUAACAGGUAGAGUGUCAGAUUCUCCCAAGAAUGCAUAUUCCAAAGUGUCGGGCAGUGCUUUGAGUUCCAAUUUUGGUGGUGCCUCCGCAGGUGGGCCAAUUUUCUUCUCAGAAUGAGGCAGUAAUUCUAACCUUGCCUUCCAUUUAGUUGUGUCCGUAAUUAGAGGUGCAUCAAGUAAAGCGCUGACUUCUGCAAUUGCACUGUCAUCAUUAAAAGAUAAAUCAGGAUGAGUUAGACAUGCCUCUAAUGGAUCAUCAUUAUGAUUUGAAAUGAAUGAAUCUUCUACUAAUUCCUCUAUCAUAUUCGCGUCAACAAAUUCAUCUUCUUCUUGUGGCUGCUUGGUAACAUUAAAAAUAUUCAAUUCCAUGGUCAUAUUACCAAAAGAUAGCUGCAUGUUUCCAUUCCUGCAAUUAAUAAGAGCAUCAGCUGUAGCUAAGAAAGGACGACCUAGAAUAACUGGAGUGUGUUUCUUAGGAUCAUGUACAUGCUGAGUAUCAAUAACGAUAAAAUCAACAGGAUAAUAAAAUUUAUCAAUCUGUAUCAACACAUCCUCUAUAAUACCACGAGGUAUUUUCAUUGACCUAUCAGCAAGUUGCAAAAUAAUAGAAGUUGGCUUUAAUUCCCCUAGUCCAAGUUGCAUGUAAACAGAGUAAGGCAAGAGAUUAACACUAGCGCCUAAAUCCAAUAAUGCUUUAUCAAAACAUUGGUUCCCUAUAACACAUGAGAUAGUAGGAGAACCAGGGUCCUUAAAUUUUGGUGGCAUUUUACAUUGAAGUAAAUUGCUAGUUUGUUCAGUUAAAAACGCCUUUUUAGUGACAUGCAAAUUUCUCUUUUUAGUGCAUAAAUCUUUCAAAAACUUUGCAUAUGAAGGAACUUGCUUAAUAGCAUCGAGUAAAGGGAUGUUUAUACUUACCUGUCUGAAGAUUUCCAUAAUCUCACCUGUUGAAGUCCCUUUCUUUACCUUUGUUAACCUUUGAGGAAAAGGAGCCUUGGGAAUGUAAGCUGGCGGGCCACUCUCUUCAGGAUCAUUUGGUGAUGAGUCUUGUGAUGGAACUGAAUCUGAAGAAGUAGGCUCAGAUAUCUUCCUUAUUUGAACCUCUACUUUGUUGUCAAAUAAUUUUCCUCUUCUCAAGGUCAUAACAGAUUUUGCUUCUUCAUGUUGAUGGCUUGAACUCGAUCCAACUUCGUGCACUCCUUUGAGAUUAGGAAUUGGUUGACUUGGAAAUUUUCCUUUUUCUCUCUCAGCUACAGUAGUUGCUAAUUGACCCAAUUGAUGUUCAAGCUUUAGAAUAGCUUGAGUGUUUGACUGAAAAGCUUGUUGGGUUGACUGAAUGAAACUUUGAAGUGUAUCCUCUAAAGAAGGCUUUCUUUGUUGGGGUGCAACAAAUUGAGACAUAGGUUGUUGGGCAGGAGGAUAUACUUGGUUAGGAUGGACAAAUUGUUGAUUGGGCAUGUUAAAUUGUUGUCCUCCUUGGUUUGACAAAGGUUGAUUUUGUUUCCAAGAAAAAUUAGGGUGAUUCCUCCAAUUAGGAUUAUAUGUGGAUGAAUAUGGAUUAUUGGAGGUUUUCUCAUAUGAUUGUAAGGCAUGUACCUGCUCAGAAUAAGCCUCUUGAUAGGCUGGUAAUGAUGGACAAUUCUGUGCUGUAUGAGACACGUUAGAACAAAUAGCACAAACCUCAUUAGCUACACUAGGAUGAUGAUUCAUUGAUUGGUUCAGAGCUAAGGCAUCUACUUUCCUAAAAAGUGUAGCUAGAGUGGAUUUCACAUCAAAAUCAUCCUUAACUUCAUAUAACCCCUUUCUAGAAACUUGAGAUGAUUUUUCUCUUUGAUUUGAAAAAUCCCACUGUUGAGAAUUCUCAGAAAGUGAAUUAAAGAAAUCCCAUGCAGCCCCUUCAUGUAAGUUCAAAAAUCUCCCACCAUUCAUAGACUCUACCAUAUGACGAUUUGACAUGGUUAAACCGUUAUAAAAGCAUUGUAUAAGUCUCCAUUUUUCAAAACCAUGGUGGGGACACUUGAGGAGUAAAUCAUUGAAUCUUUCCCAACACUCGUAAAAUUGCUCACCCUCUCUUUGAUAAAAAUCACUUAUCUCUCUCCUAAGGGCAUUUGUUUUAGACAUAGGGAAAAACUUGGUGAGAAACUUAUUACUCAAUUCAUCCCAUGUACUAAUAGAUCCAGCAGGAAGUGAAUUCAACCAAGCUUUUGCUUUGUCUUUUAAUGAGAAAGGGAACAUACGAAGCUUAAUUGACUCAUCAUUAAAAUUUUGAAAACGGAAUGUAGAGCAUAUGUCAAGAAAUUCCUUAAUGUGCAAAUAUGGAUCCUCUCUCUCUAACCCAUGGAAAGAUGGUAAAAGUUGAAUGACAGAGGGCUUGAGUUCAAAGUGUGUUGCUGUGGUUUGUGGCAACACAAUACAAGAUGGUUGGUUGGCUGCAAGUGGUGAAAAAUAUUCUCUAAGGGUUUUCUCUGCUUGCAUUGGUGGAAGUAUUGGCAAUAGUCUAUUUGGGUCAUCCAUCACUUCUAAAGAACUAGUUUGACUACUAUCAAUUUUUGACUCUCUUUUAACCAAACGAUUUGUUAAAUCACGUUCCCAAACACUCAUAAACUAACUAGACAAGGAAAGAAAGAAAAAAAAAAUAAAAUAAAACAAAUCAACAAUAAUAAAAAUUAAAUAAAAGAAAUCAAACAACCAAACAAUGAAUUUAAAGACAAAUAAAUUUUAUUUUUUUUUUUAAUUAAAAAAUAAAAAAUAAAAAAUAAAAGACAACCUAAAUUAUAACUAGUGGAAGAAUCAAAUCAACCUAGAUUAAACUGACUUUCUAGCACAAUCCCCGGCAACGGCGCCAAAAACUUGUUGUGAAAAUUUUAAUAUACUCGCAAGCGCACGAAUCUAGAGAUAGAAAAGUGGUAACGAGGUCGAUCCACAGGGAUUGUUAUAAAUUGAAAAGUCUAAUUUAAAUCUAAAAUUAAUAUUAAUUCUAACCUAGUUGAGCAAAUUGAGUUUUAAGAGAAAUUAAACUAAUUAAACUAAGAAAACAAUUAAAGUAAAUGAGAAUUUAAUGAGAUAAAAAUUACCAAGGUUUCGGAAUCCACCACUAUUCAAUUAGUAAUUAUCUAAAUAUUAAUUAAUCCCCAAUUUUAGAGUGACAACUCGAAAUCAAUCUAUGUCAUCUCAUGGAUAUAACAAUUAAGCCCAAGUAAUUAAAUCUAAUGUAGGUUCUUUUUCUACUUAAUAAUACGAUAUCUAAGUAUCCCAUGUAAACAUAUUGAAUAACAAAGAGUCAAAGUUUACUAAGCACUCUAUGUAAACAAUUUAAUGAAAGACAUAGAGUCAAAGAUAAUCAUGUAUAAACUUUAUAGAUCCAAGCAUAGAAUUAAUCGAAUAUUAAUCCUAACAAUCAAUAAUGCAUGACAGAAUUGAUGAAAAGAUUUUAUUAACAUCCAAUUAAUCAUGUGAAAUAAAAACCAUAAUCAUCAAAGAACAUAUAUAGGGAAUUAAUUAAAUAAAAAGAUAAUUAUUUCAUUGAAUAGGGUUUCAUCCUUAACCUCAGUAUAAGAAAAUUAGCUAGACAUACUUGAAUUGUGAGCAACAAAAAAAAUAAAAUCAGCCAUGGAAGCCGAAAUAUUGCUACUGCCGAUUGCUCUCUUCCAGCCUUUUGUUUCUGUCCUCUGGCCGCCUCGCUCUCCAAAAGCCAAAACUCCCUUUUAUAAUCUUUGAAAUGGGCCCCAUCUCUUAAAUCCUAAAGCCAAAAGGCUUGCCUUUUAUUUCCUUUAGCUCUCACACGUGACCACCUUUGGAAUUGCUUUAAGAUUCCUUUUCCAAUUAUGAAAGCCAAGUGCGGGUCCCAUUUAAAUUGCUUUCCAAAUAUUACAAAGCCAUGCACGUGUAACUUAACUAAGCUAAAGCCAAUGUUAUGCUUAAAUUCUUCUUCAUGUGCUAGAUCAAUUAAUUUACUAGCUUCGGUUUCCUCGGCUUCACUUCCACAUGCAUGUAUGUCUAAUUGCUUCUAAAAUCAAUUAAUUAACGCUUCCAAAAUUGAGCUCCCUUAUAUCCUUUUUUAUCCAUAAUCUUCAAUUAAUCCCCUAUUCAAUAAAAUAAUUUAAUUAAUUAAAAAUAACAAAUAAAAAUAACUAGUAAUUAUAUAAUUAAGGGUAAAAUAUGUAUAUAAAUUAUGCUCAUCAAUGAAGGAACAACUUCUAUCAUUUUACCAAGUUAUUAAUGUUAUGUUUACUUACUGGAGUGGCCGUGAGAAGUAUAGAUUCCUCCCACUCUAAAGUUUACUUGCAUAUUCUAAGAGGUGUGGGAAUCCCACUCCGUUGAUCCCACCCAAUUUUGAAGUAGGGAGUGUGAUUCCCACUCCCACGAGGGAAGGUCCACUCCCACAACUUUCUUUUUUUACCUUUCUUUUAUUAAAUUUAAUACAAUCAUAUUUAGUAAAAUAAAACAAAUAACAUCAUAUUUAUUUAAUAAAUAUUAUUAUUUUAUUUUAUAAAAUUCUAUUUAUUAAAAAGAAUAAUAUUAAUCUUAUUUAGAUAAAAUUAUUAUUAUAUUUAUUUAAAAAUAAUAGUAUUAUAUUUAUUUAAUAUUAAUAAUAAAUAGUUUAUUCUAAGAAACUAUUAAUUUUGCACUAUAUUAUUAAUAAUAAUGUUUCAUUUGUAUUGCUCUUAUCAAUAAUUUUUAUUUUACAUAAUUAAAAUUAAAACUAAUACAAAAUUUUGAUUUACAUAAUUAAUAAUAUUAAUAAUUAUUGUUAAUUUACAAAUAUAGUGAAAUAAAUAUUUUAUUUCAAAUAUAUUUUUUAUUAAUUUUGUAAUUAAAAGCUACAAUUCUUUAAAUAAGGGUAAAACCGUAAUUUGAAACCAUUUACUCCCCUUCUCAUUCUAGUGAGCAAAAACAACUUGCUCCCACUCCACACUCUCAAUCACAAGGUUCCCACUUCUCAAGAUUUCCACUAUAAUCUAAAAUGUAAACACCAUCUAAAACGUCAAAUAAAAUUCUUAAUUAAGUAAACCAUAAGGUGAUUGCGUAUAAAAAAAAUUAAUAAUCUUAAUUUUCAUAAGAAUUUAUGCUUGUAGUAUUACUUUACUUUUUUAUUAACCGUUGCUUCAACUUAUGGUAGAUAUUAAGAGAACAAUAAUAAUAGAGCUAUAAAUGUUUGCGUACUAUCAAUCAACUUAACAGUAUAAUUACCAACAAAUCCUUAAUACCAUAAAUAAUUAAAUUAUUGGGGUUUUAAAAUGACUCUCUAGACUUUGCAUGAUUUCUUUAUAUGUAGGUGCCAUGGUUCCUAUAAGUAAUAUCAGCCACACUUUUUGUUAUUGUUAAAAAAAUUUUAUAGGUACAAUUUGUGAAUUUGUACAAAAUGUGGUAUUAUACAUUUGAAACAUGAACCGACAAGACAAUGUUGUGUCAAUAAUAAAGAAACAAAAAAAAAUUGUAUAAAAUACAGAUGUUGUAGUGUAACUUGGAUUCUUUUUCUUUAUAAUUGCACCUAUCAUGUGAUUAUCAAAAAAAAAAAAAAGAACUCCUGAGAUUUUAAAAUUUUGUAAUUGCACUAUUUUUGGAUUAUCAGAAGACUUCCUCUCCUUAAAGAUGCUCUUAAUCCAUAAAUGGUGGAAAACAUAAUUCAUGAAAUGAAUUUAUUAUUUUAGAUAAGUUUCAAGUAUGCAUACCUUUUAUAGCUCCAUAUUGCAUAACUCCUCAUUUCAAUCAAUGGAUGCAUUUGUUUACUUUUUCUUUCUUGUAAAUUUUUGAAUGGCCGUAAUUCUAUAAAUAAUUAAUUAAGUGUUAUUGUUAUCAUUAUUUUGUAGAUGCAUAUGUGGGGUGGGGACGUUGGGGGGCAUGGAUCUCAAUAUAGCAGAGGGCUAGAAUAUUUAUUCUUUAAGAGGAACCAGAACCAACAACAAUGCUUUAAGUUCCAUUCCAUUUUACUUUUGUGCACCAGAUUGCAUAAACAACAUUGAUUAUCCAAGGUCAAAGUCUCUCAAAUACUCUAGUUACAAGACAAAGCAUGGGUUAGUAGCGGCCAAAAUUUUCUUGCAACGAAAGGCUGGUAAACUGAUGACAGCUGCUGGAUUGUUUUGGGCCUUAAUGGUUUUAAUAUUAUUCUCUUAAAAACAUAUAUGUUGAUUAGAGACGAGAGGAAGAAGAUGAUCUGAUUCAGCCAGUUGCAGAAGAAAGAGCACACAGUGGAGUUCAGAUUUUGAAUUCUCUUGUUAAAUUGUUUUUAAUUUACUACAAGGUAGAAUAUGUUGCAUUGUUAAAAAAUACUUUGAACAUCCUAUUUUUGUAUUACAAAUAUACCAAAAAUUAAAUUAAUUUUUUUUUCUUUAUUAGUAUAAACUAAAUUUUGCAUGAAUCCUCAUCCUUGUAAGUGGAAUUCUAUUGUGAAACUAAUAGUCCUUCCUAGUUGAACUAACCAUCACUUGGAACAUAUGUGUCAUCUCUAACAACACCUUCCAAACCUGCAGCUACCUGCUUCUUAGCAUUAGAAGCAGUAUAUGCAUUGGCUUUCAACCAGCCAUAAUUAGGAGGAGGGCACCAUUGUUUCUGUUUGUCAAUUUCCUUUCUUGAAUCAUAAGCCAUAAUUAGGAGGAGGGCAAACUUCCACAUAACAUUCCAAAUGGUAUUGUGAAAAAUUUUCACCCUUUUGGUAAUAAAAAAGAACCUUAUUUCUAGUUCUCUAUUAACAAUCUUACUAGGGAUGGCAAUUUGGUCCAUUUAAAUUGGAUAUCCAUACAUCCAAUCUAAUUGGAUUGGAUAAUAUCCAUCAAAAAUUUUUUGGACAUGGAUAUGGAUAUUUUAAAAAAAUAUCCAAGUAAAAGUUGGAUGGGUAUGGAUUCCCGAUGGAUAUCCAAUAUCCAAUUAAUAUCUUAUUUGAAAUUAAAAAAUUAAAAUCGUAAAACUAAAAUGAAAAAAACAAAAACAAAUGUCUAGAAUCUAGAUAGCAAAAACCUAAGAUUAUCACAUCACUUGCCGGCCGGUCUUCGCUUACCGACGCUCUUCCCCGACUCCGACGCCGCUGUCCAGGGGUUCCAUUUAGGUGCACCGGCGCUGUACCAAUGGUUGAUCAGCCGUAACUGCAGCUUCCAGCUGUUCUUGACCGCUUUUCUGCCUCGUUCCAGCUGCCAUCGUCUCUGUCGUCGCUGCCACCACCGUCGUCCGUCCGCCUGUUCGUUGUCUCCCGCGCAAGGUAAGUUUUGAUUGCUGAAGCUUAAUAGUGUAAUAAGCUGGAUUUAAAGUUAUGGCUGCGUCUGCUUUUCCUUUGCAAGGUAGUAGUAACAAAAACUUGUCUCAACUUAGCCGUCAUUCUAGUCCGCGUGAAGUCAUUGUUGGGUUAAAUUUUCAGCACCAAAUGUACUGCCACCUUCUUUACGGUCUAAGGAAUUAUGAAUUUAUCGAUGGAAUUAUUUCUCCUUAUGCUAUAGGAUUAAUUAGAGCAUUUAGUUUUUUUGAAUCUAAGUGGAAGUAGCUAUGUGAUGAUCUUGAAAAUGGGUACCCGUGUUUGGAUAUUACUGAGGUUGCAAUGCGAGAUUUUGUUACUGAACCAGAUUUGAAAAUGGGUACCCGUGUUGCAACCAGAUUUAUCAAAAAGGAUCCAAUCAAUUUGUGGAGAAAGUAAUUUGACCCUAGGUUCCUAGAGCGUAGAGACAAUCCAUCUGCUUGAUUAAAUAAUGUAACUUGGCAGCACCCUAUAUCAGAUGUGUAAUUGAUCUCUAUAUGGUUCAUGUUAAGCACUACUACUACUUCCAAACAAACGAGCUAGCUAGUUCUAGAAGUUUAGGGAUUGUUAAUAAUUGCUCUGUAAUGUCUUUUUUUCAGGUUAAUUAUGUCUAAUUUUGAUUCCGAUCCUGCUGUUCAAUUAAACCCUCAAGCCUCAAGUAAUGUUAAUGCUGAAAAUCCACAAACUCAUUCAAUUAGUGGAGGUACAAAACGAGACUCGGAAGGACAACCUAGAAGCUCAUUGAGACAAACAUCUAGAGCUUGGGACCACUUCACAAGGAGAACAAUUAAUGGAGAAAUGAAGGCAGUGUGUAAUCAUUGUGGCAAAGGUUUUGCUGGACAGCAAUCAAGUGGAACUUCACAUUUGUUAAACCAUAUUGAUAGGUGUCCCAAACGGAUACAAGAAUCAGCUCUAGCUCCAGCUUCUAGCCCUAGUCAAGCAUCUAAGGUCUACAAGAAAAAAGAUGCUGAAACUUCAACAAUUUCAGCAUUUGAUUCCACUGCAUUUGAUAAAGCACUUGCUAGACAGAAAAUAGCAAGAAUGAUAAUCAUGCAUGAGCUUCCUUUGAGAUUUGUUGAGUAUGAAGGGUUUAGGGAUUUGAUGAGUUUUGUUCAGCCUUUGCUUGGUAAAAUUUGUAGGAACACUGUGAAAAGAGAAGUUUUUAAGCUGUUUGAUUUUUAAAAGGCUAAGACAAUGGCUUUGUUGGAGGAUAUUACUAGUAAAGUUUCCAUUACUACGGAUAUGUGGACAUCUAGCCAUCAAAAAAAGGGAUAUAUGGUCGUGACAGUGCAUUUUAUUGACAAUUCGUGGACUCUACGAAAUCGAAUCUUAAGGUAUCAGUUUAAAAGUUUAAUAAAUUUAUUUAUAUUUUAUUAUAUGAACUUUAUUUUUAUUUAUUCUCAUAGCUGUAAUUCUGUUUUAUUUUUUAUGAAUUGUGUAGAUUUAUAUAUGUGCCUUCUCCACAUACUGCUGAAGCACUUUCUAAUGAGUUGGCUAAGUGUAUGUUGGAUUGGAAUGUAGAUCGAAGGUUAUCUACAAUAACAAUUGAUAAUUGUUCUACUAAUGAUGCUAUGAUUCCGCUUUUGUUGGCUAAGUUUCCUCCUGGUUCAUUCUUAUUAAAUGGAAAAUUAUUGCAUGUGAGAUGUUGUGCUCACAUUUUAAAUUUAAUUGUUAAGGAUGGGUUAGAUGCGAUAGGAGAUGGGAUUGAAAAAGUUAGAAACAGUGUUAAUUACUGGACAUCAUCACCUAAAAGGAUAGAGCUGUUUGAGGAUACGGCUAAUCGCCAAUUGAAGUUAAAUUGUUCUAAGAGUUUAGUGCUUGAUUGUAAAACUAGGUGGAAUUCGACAUAUUUAAUGCUUGAAGUUGCUUUGAUUUAUAAAGAUGUUUUUACUCGUUUGAAGCAUCGUGAUAACCAAUAUAAGCACUUGCCUACUGAAGUAGAGUGGGAGUUGGCGAGAGUAGUAUGUGAGCAUUUGAAACCCUUCUAUACUAUGGCUGAGAUGUUUUUUGGCACUAAAUACCCAACAGCUAACUUAUUUUUUCCAAUAAUUUGUGAAAUUAGAUUAUCAUUGAAUGCUUGGCUUAAUUCUUCAUGUGAUGUGAUAAAAAAUAUGGCGAAAAGUAUGUUAGAAAAGUUUGGAAAAUAUUGGGAUGAAAUCCAUGGUGUAAUGGUUGUUGCUGUUGUAUUGGAUCCUAGAUACAAAAUGGUUCUAGUGGAUUAUUUCUUUCCUCAGAUUUAUGGUAGUGAUGCAUCAACUCAUAUUGAUAGAAUCCGUACUCUCUGUUCUGACUUAUAUUCAGAAUAUAAAAAAAAGAGUAUGGUUGGAUCGAAUUUGGCUGAAGGAUUUGGUGAGUCUAGUGUUGUUUGUAAUUCUAAUUCUAGUUCAGUUGUGAUGGGUAUGUGGGAUGUGAAAAAAUUUAAUGCAUUCAAAAGCCAACAUAUUCAUAAACGAGUUAAGUCGAAGUUAGAUACUUACUUGGAAGAAGAGGAUAAGACUACUCCAGACUUCGAUAUUUUAAUGUGGUGGAAGGUGAAUAGAAGUAGAUAUCCGAUAUUAUCUGAGAUUGCUAGAGAUUUGCUGGCUGUUCCGGUCUCCACAGUUGCUUCCGAAUCUGCUUUUAGUGCGGGAGGUCGAUGUUUAAGCCCACAUCGUAGUAGACUUCAUCCGAGUACAGUAGAUGCCUUAAUGUGUACUCAGAAUUGGAUAUGGGCUCAAUUAAAAGGUAUCAAAUUCAGCUCACUUCUGCACUUAUUUGAUUUUGAUAGUAUUUGUUUUUUUUUUAUUUUACAAUUUUUUUAAAAUUAGGUGAGAUUCCUAAAGAUAAAGUGAUGAAUGGGGAAAAAAUAAAUGGAGAAGUGACUGAUAAUGAUGAUGAAGAGGAGACCCAACCAUGUUCUGAAUAGUGUUUAUUUUUCUUUUUUUGGUAUGUGCUUGAUGCUUAUUGUGAUGCUCAAUUAUUAAUAUCAAAUUCAGCUCACUUCUGCACUUAUUUGAUUUUGAUAGUAUUUGUUUUUUUUAUAUUUUACAAUUUUUUUUUAAAUUAGGUGAGAUUCCUAAAGAUAAAGUGAUGAAUGGGGAAAAAAUAAAUGGAGAAGUGACUGAUAAUGAUGAUGAAGAGGAGACCCAACCAUGUUCUGAAUAGUGUUUAUUUUUCUUUUUUUGGUAUGUGCUUGAUGCUUAUUGUGAUGCUCAAUUAUUAAUAUCAUGGUUAUACUUAUUUAUUUAUUGCAUCAGUGGAAGCAGCUAGUAAUAUUUUCAAUUUUUUUUCUAUUAUUGUUGUGCCUAAUUGAAGAGUAUAUUUUUAGGAAAGGACCUCAAUGUUACAGAUCCCUGGUGUUCUGUUCUGUGGCCCUGUCUUCUAUUACCUAAUCUUUUGUCCUGUGUUAUUCAUCUUAAGUUUCACUUGAUUUGAAAAUCUAUCCGGCUGCCAAAGAUAUUUCAUUUGUUAUGGCCAUGGUGGCAAAUUAUAUGGUUUAAGCUGAAUAUUACAGAAAAUGUAACUGCCUUGGUUGAUGCUUAAAAUACUUUGAUCACUUCUGAGAUUAAGAAAUAAUAAGCAUGUGAGCCCUUUGCACAAUAGACUGCCUACUAUCUAUAUUAUAUAUUUAUUUAGUUAGGAAGUAAAGUGCUGAGAAACAUACAAUUGGAGGCUCUGUUUCAGAAUUUCCUGUUUAGUUCAUAUCUGCUCUAUUCAUGCAUCAAAUGGCAGGUCUGGCUUUUUUCUGUCAUUUUCUCAUUCACUUCUUGUUAUCAGUUGGUUGCAGUUCGAAAAAUUCCUUGGGCAAACGCAAACCUGAAUUAUACUGGUCAAGCACUCAUCAUAUCCGUAGGUAACUGUCACAACUGGCAUUUCUAAUUUUUUGUAAUGUGGAAAGAAGAUAUACUGACUAGUAUACUAUUUUUGGUAUCAAAAAUUCAUACGACAUGGCCUCGAGGCUUUCUGUAAAAUUUGUUCAUGAUAUUGCUUAUUUAUUCUUGAAUACAGACUUUUUGUAAUGCGGAAAAAAAUCUAGUGUAAUACUCUCGUAUCAGUACAAAAAAUUAUGAUAUCACCACUGCUUUCAAAUACUUUUUUUUUUUUUCUGUGAGACUACCUCUGUUCAACACCUAUCUUUAAGUCAUAAAUAUUUAGUUUUGCUCAGGGGCGGACCUAAGAAUUUAUAUUAUCCCGGGCUAAAUGUGUAAUCAAUAUUUUUUGUAAUACAAAUGUGUAUUACAAAAAAUUAGUGUACUAAAUUUACACUAUGGGACCUAAGAAUUUAGAAUUAAACUCAAACAGCUCCUAGUGAAGCCGUCAAGUGGCUUUUAGCGUCUUUAUUUGUCUAAUCAUCUGAGUUACAAUCUUUAAAAAUAAUAAUAAUAAUAAGUUAAAAUUUUAUUUGACCUUUUCUUCUCAUUUCCGAAUAUUAACAAAUACCUCGAUAAUCGGUCCCCAAACCGCAUUCUGCCGUGUAUUUUGUAAGUAGGAUACAUUACUCACAAUAAUGUUAUGCUUUUGGGACCGCUACAGCCUACAAAUAAUGGCUCCCGAUUGAAUUAGUUCAAAAAAUAGUUAAUUAUUAAAUUUUAUCCUUUUCUAAUUUAAAUUGUGAAAUAUAUUCAGUUGUGAAAAAAAGAAUUACCGAUACAGAAGGUAUUAACAAUACCUUGAUAAUCCCGUUAAUUUUACGAGUAGGUAUUAACAAUAUGAUGUCUCACUGUUUGUCUGAUGGGCUCAUAAUUAUUAGAUUUUAUUGUUUCUAAUUUGGGUGGGGAAAUUUAUUCAGUUGGCUAAAAACCUAAGCUCUUGCGAGGCUUGUUUUAUUAUCAAAAACAAAAAAACAAACAAAAAUUAUUCAGUUGGCCUACAAAUUGUAAAUUAAUGUGUCAAUUUUCUCACGUUAUCCUCCUGCUUAAACAUAAGUCUACACAAGAUUUCAUGUUUAAAUAGGUUAAAUGUGCCAUGAUUAUUAAAUAAUUUUAAAUCAUAAACAUUUAGGUGGCAUAUGUUUCUUGUCUAAAAUCUAAAUAUGUGUGAAUUAGUCUGAAUUUUGAGUAGAGCUGAAUGUCUAAAUCUUAAUUAUAUGUUUGUUUUUUUAUCUGAAUCGUUAAAAAUAAAUAUUAAGUUGUUUAUCUUUUAACUUAAAAAAAAUCUAAAAAUUAGUAUUUCUACAUUUGUGCCCUAAUAUAUUGUAAAUGUUAAUCAAAUAAUCAACAUUUCAAAGAACAUAUAAAAGAUAAUAUAUCAUCAUAAAAUAAAUCAUUUUCAAUUGAACACAACCUUUUAAUAUUCUAAAUUAGUAUAUGUCAAUCAAUUUUAUUAUAAUUUAUGAUGUUUUUAUACUAAGAAUAGUCAUUAAAAAAUUAUGAAGAUAAAUAAUUCUAAUAUGAAGAAAAUAAGAUGGUAAAAAUAGUAAUAGUCUACCACUAUAUUAUCAUAAGUUAUAGAGAUGAGUAAUAAUACUAAUUAUUAAAUUUUAUUCGGGUAACGAUGAAAAUUAAUUAAUUAGAUAGAGAUAUUUUGGAAAAUAUCUUUUAAUGAUAUUAUUCAUACUUUUUAGAUUAAGUAAAAAGCUAAAAAGUUUGGGAUAAUAAUUUAAUGAAUGAAAAUUUUUCGUUAAGUUGAAAAAACAAACAUCUACUUAGUUUUUAUUUAUAUUAACAACAAAUUAAUAUAUAUGACGUUCUACUUAAUAAAGAGAGAACCUGAGGUAAUAAAACUGUUAAGAGAGAACUAUAAAUAAGGUGCUUUUGGAUUAUCAAAAAAGGUGAAAAACCAUCACCAAACCAUUUGGAUGUUAUUUGGAAGCUUGCCUUAUCAAAAAAAGUUUUAGAUGAAAAUUUUCUCUUGGUGAGCAGCUAAAGACCUAUUUUCAACAGCUGAAGAUUUGAAAAUUAAAAAAAAAAAUGUUUCAGUAUCCUAGAUGUUAAAUUUGCUAUAGUAACGUGGAUGACAUAUUUCAGAGAGUAAGAUGGGGUGGAAAUUUUGGCGAAAUUCCCAGUUCGCAGUCAAAUUUAAAGAGGAAAUUUAGUAGACAAGGCCAUUCUAAAAUUUAGAGAAAGGAAACAAAUGUAUUUAAGUAGGGAAUUAUGCAAUACGGAGUUAUAAGAGGUAUGCAUAUUUGAGACUUGUCUAAAGUAAUAAAUUCAUUUUAUGAACUAAUUAUUGGACCAUUUACGGAUUAAAGGCAUCAUUAAGAAGAAGAACAUUAUCAAGAGUCUUUUGAUAAUUCAAGGAUAGUGCAAUUACAAAAUUUAAAAAUCUCAAGAAGUUUUUUGAUAAUCACAUGAUAUGGAAUUAUAAAGAAAAGGAUCCGAGUUGCCUACGACAUAUGUAUUUUAUACAAUUUUUUUUAAUUAUUGAUUAGAUUACUGUCUGUGCAUGUUUCAAAUGUUUAAUACCGCACGUUAUACAAAUUCACAAAUUGUACCCAAAAAGUUUUUUUUCACCAAUAACAAAAAGUGCAGCUGAUGGUACCUAUAGGAACCAACAUGAUCACCCAGCACCUACACAUAAAGAAAUCAUGCAAAGUCCGGAGAGUCCUUUUAAAACCCCAUUAAUUUAGUUAUUUAUGAUUUUAAGAAUUUAUUUGGAGAUGUAGUAGAGGAGCUAUGAUUUUAAAAUGUUUGGUAAAUACAUAGUUUAAAAUUUUAUUUAUUUGAUAAAGAACUUAUAUUAUUUUAAGUACUUAAAAUAGUUUAAUAUGCAAUUCGAUGCUAAAAAGAUAGAAUUACCCUUACAAAAUGACCAUAGUUUUUAUUUGUAUUUGUUUCUAUGUUGUCAUUUAGUAAGGAUAAUUCUAUCUUUUUAGUAGACAACUAAUACAAAUUAUAAAAUUAAAGUAAAAAACUAAACAAAUUAAAUCUUCCUAGUAUUUUUUAAUAUAAAAUAAACUUAGGGUAGAUGGCUGAUAAUUGACUACACUAUAAUAAAAAAAAAACCUUGUUUUCAUAUAGGACCCACUCACUAUAAAAUUUAUAAUUGGUCGAUUUAGAUCUCAUUUCUAAUUUUUGUAAUGUGGAAAGAAGAUCUAGUAGAGACUUUCUUAUAUAACAAAUUUGUAUGACAUGUCCCAGAAGCUUUUUGUAAAACUUGUUCCUAAUAUUGCUAAUUUAUUCUUGAAAUUACUUAGAUCUUAUUUUCAAUUUUUUGUAAUGCAAAAAAAAAAAAACUAGUGUGAUACUCUUAUAUCACUACAAAAAAUUAUUUAAUAUUACAAUACCACAUUCUUUUUAAAUACUUUUUUGUGUGAAACGAUCUCCAUUCAACAACUAUCUUUCAGGUCAUAAAUAUUUAGUGUUUGUUAUAUUAACAAAAAUAUAAUUUAUACAAGGAUUUUACUUAAAAAUCAUCCUAAAGUGAUAGAACUCUUAAGAGAGAAUCGAAUUAAAGUGCUUCUAAGUUACUGGAAUAGAUGAAAGCUUUUUCACCAAAUCAUUUGCAAUGUUAUUUGGAAGCUUGCCUUGCCCCAAAAGUAUUGGGUGAUUUCUUUCUCUUUUUUUUUUGGAGAGCAACCAAAACGUACUUCGGUGAAAAUCUAUGGAAUAAACAGAACGCUGACUGCAAGUAGAUAAGGGUGUAGAACCCAAGUCGCGUUGGGAAAUUAGAAGAUAAGGUGCGUAGGUGAAAUUUAAUCUAUCUAAAUUUCGAGUAGACUUGUGUUUGAGUAGGAGGAUAAUGUAAGAAAAUUUGGCACUUUUAUUCAACUGAAGAAAUUUUACAAUUUAAAUUAGAAACGAUAAAAUUUAAUAAUUAAUUAUUAUUUGAACUAAUUGAAUCGUGCGCCAUCAUUUGUGUAAUGUAUCCUAUUUGCAAAAUAAACGGCAGGAUGCGGUUUGCGGACAGAUUAUCCUAUUUUGGUAAUUCUCUUCUUCUUCUUCAACCCCAAAUAAUCAAAAGCUCUCCAAUGGCUUUCGUAUCCUCAACUCGUUCAUUUAAUUUUACUUCAAUUUUAGUAUCAGCUCUUAGAUGUAAUUUCUCAUCUUCGUUCCCUCAUACCGGAAAACCCACAUCUUCAAUUUCGGAAAAUGAACCCUCGUAUCCGACCACAACAGCUAAACUGAAGGAGUCGCUACGACUGACGGUCAAAGACUGAGCCUCACUCGAAAAAUUCCUCAAAGAAAGGUGCAAAUCAUCAGGUCAAGGUGAUAUUAAUCUUAUUACUCCUAAUGAAGCCUUGUGUAUCUUUGAUUACAUGUUCCGUAUGCACCCUUCUCCGCCUCCUGUCUCUUCCUUCAAUAUUUUGUUUGGUUGUCUUGCUAAGAAUAAACAUUAUAUACUGUCCUUUCACUCUUCAAGCGACUCAAUUCAACUGGGUUGUUUCCAGAUCUUUAUACUUACAAUAUCUUGAUUAACUGCUUUUGCAAAAUGGGUCGAGUUUCUCAUGGUUUUGUUGUUCUUGGGAGAAUCCUCAGGUCUUGUUUUACUCCAGAUGCUGUGACCUUUACUUCUUUGAUUAAAGGUUUGUGUGCGGAGAGUAGAAUCAUGGAGGCCGCCGCAUUGUUAACGAAACUUAAAGCGUUUGGUUGUGAGCCUAAUGUCAUCACAUACACCACUUUGAUUAAUGGAUUGUGUCGAACAGGCCAUACAAUUGUUGCUCUAAAUUUAUUUGAAGAGAUGGCUAAUGGAAAUGGGGAAUUUGCUGUUGUUUGUAAGCCAGACACUGCUACAUACAGUACUAUUAUCGAUGGUCUUUGUAAGGAAGGUUUUGUGGACAAGGCCAAGGAACUGUUUCCGAAGAUGAAGGAUGAGAAUAUUAACCCCAAUGUGGUUACUUAUACUUCUUUGAUUCACGGUUUUUGUUACGCUAAUGAUUGGAAUGAGGCGAAGUGUUUGUUUAUUGAGAUGAUGGACCAAGGGGUACAACCUAAUGUUGUGACUUUCAAUGUGAUCAUGGAUGAGCUCUGCAAGAAUGGAAAGAUGGAUAAAGCAAGUCGGUUGCUGGACCUGAUGAUUCAGAUUGGUGUGCGUCCAGAUGCUUCUGUCUAUAACACAUUAAUGGAUGGGUUUUGCUUGACGAGUAGAGUUAACCGUGCGAAGGAACUAUUUGUUUCUAUGGAGAGUAUGGGUUGCAAACAUAAUGUUUUUAGUUACAGUAUUUUGAUAAAUGGUUACUGCAAGAAUAAGGAAAUAGAGGAAGCGUUAAGCCUUUAUAGCGAAAUGCUCUCUAAAGGAAUUAAGCCAACAGUUGUUACAUAUAGCACCUUGUUUCUUGGACUUUUUGAAAUACACCAGGUUCAGCAUGCUUUAAAACUGUUUGAUGAUAUGCAGCGUAAUCAUGUGGCAGCUAAUACAUAUAGAUACACUACCUUUAUUGACGGGCUCUGCAAGAAUGGUUUUGUUCUAGAGGCACUGGAAUUAUUCCGUGCUAUAAGAAAUAGCAAGUAUGAGCUUAAUAUCGUAUCCUACAACUGCCUCAUUGAUGGAUUGUGUAAAAUAGGCAAACUGGAAACUGCUUGGGAAAUGUUUCAAAGUUUGCCUCGUGUAGGCCUAAUGGCAGAUGUUGUAACUUACAACAUCAUGAUCCAUGGGCUUUGUAAUGAUGGGCAAAUGGACAAGGCACAUGAUUUGUUUCUUGAUAUGGAAGCAAAAGCUGUGGAACCCGAUUGUGUCAUAUUUAAUACGAUUAUGCUGGGUUUCAUCCGCAAUAAUGAGACAUCAAAAGUUAUUGAACUCCUUCACAGAAUGGAUAAGAGAAAUGUAAUGCCAGACGCAUCUAUACUUUCAAUUGUUGUGGACUUGCUUGUAAAGAAUGAAAUUAGCUUAAAAUCGAUUCCACAAUUCAAGAGUCAAAGGUAAGUGAGUUUAAUACUGAUUUAGCCACAUGUUUCUUCUGCCUGAAAACCCAACCUGGAGGAUCCCAUUCUUAUUACAACAUGUAAAGGAGUGUUGUCUAAUAUAGGCAUGUUCCUAGGUUCUGUCCAUGGAUUCUGUUUGCACACAUGGCUAACUUCCUGUUCAACAGAAAGUUUUAAAGUCUUUCAACUUUAUGUUGUAAAAUAACUUUUUUAUUAUUCAAUUCAUGAGUUUUUCUUCUAUAACACAUCCUUCUCAUUAGCUGGAAGUGCAAAUUUUUUAGGCUUUUCCCGUAUGGCCUCUUUUUCUGCUCUAAAUAAAAUGGCAUUUUAUUUCCCUCUUGUGAGGGUACAAGGUUUAUGUUUAAACUUUCUGUUAGUUAAAUUGGUUGUCUUUGAUAUAGGGAACUUCCAGUUGAACUGAUUUGUAAUUCGACUAUAUGAGAUUACCAACUGUAUUGGGAAUCGAUGCCAAAUUAAUAAUGUCAUCAGGUUUUUCAAUCAGUGUUCAUCAUUUAUUUCUGUUAACAAUUAAUAGCACAGUUUGUCUUCUCAGCUUCAUUGGUUCCUCUCAAAAAUAAUCUUGUAAAGACAAUCUUUCUUGGGCAUGGAAAAUGCUAGAUUGUUUGUGGUCUGAAUGAUACUACACAUCUAAGUAAUUGCCCAAAGUUUUUGUUCCUAGUUACAUGGCAUUCAAUUGAAUGAGGACUCAUGUUUGUGUGUAUUGGUAUUUGUUAUACUAUGUAUUGGCAAGACAAAGUUUCUUGAAAUUGACAAACUUUUCUCUAUGAAGAUUGAAGACAAUAUGAUAAGAUAAAAUUUAUCAAAAGCCUAUAUAUGCUUGCCAGGGCCGGACCUUUGAUUAUUAGUCCUCGCCUUUCGUUCUUGUUUCAUAUUCUUCUGCUAACAAAUCUUGAUCAUGAAUCUCAUCACAUUUGGUACGCUUAUCCAUGGUUUUAUCCGAACCAAUGAGCCAUCAAAAGUUAUUGACCUUCUUCACAAGAUGAGGGAGAAAAAAGUAAUGCCGGAUGCAUCUAUAGUUUCAAUCGUCGUGGACUUGUAAAGAAUGAAAUUAGUCUGAACUCACUUCCGUCAUUUCCUGUUCAAGAGCAACAGGGGGAAGUUGAUGAGUCAAAUGUCAAGUUGUAGCAGCAUGUGCUUUCAGCCUAAAAACCUGAUCUGCAGCAUCUCAAUCAUGUUACAAAGUGACACGUCGCCUAGUGACAGCAAGUUCUCUACGGUGCUGUUAAUGGAUCCUGAUUGUUCUUGUGAUCUGGAGAGUCUUAUUCACAUUACAGAUCCUGGUCUGGACGAGCUAGCUUAUGUGAUCACCAACUCUACAUUGCCGUUGAUGCCAAAUUAAAUAUGGUAUCAUGUUUUUCAACUUGUUACUUACUACAGUCCUUCCAUUGAAUGGCCACAAGAAACUGUAAAAUCACCCUUUGUCUUGUUCCCUCUUAAUGAUCCAUCACUUUGGGAGCUAAUGAAUUAGUUACACCUUGUCACUUUAUUGGUACUUGAUUGUCAUUUGUGCUUUGAAUUCACAGCAUAUUUUAUCCUUGCUGUACUCUUUGCAUAAUCACCUUUGAGGGCUGCUAGUAUGUAUAAUUGAAAAACCUUAUAUAAAUUAUAAGCAUUUAUAUUUAACUUCUUGUAAACGUCCAGUAUAUGUCUCUUCUGUGAAAUGAUUCAUUCUCCAUGCUGCUAGGACCUGGGCUUAUGACUCUUCUGUGAAAUGAUUUACCCUCACCUGCAGACAGAAAUUUAUCACAUUCGAGAAAUCUUCAAACAAAGUGAAAAAAAUGCCACAAACACGACAUAAACUUAACUGUUUACAUGAAAAGUGGCAGCAACUUGGUGAAAUUACCGAUUAAAAUGUCCCUACUGUGAGGAAGGAUGCUAUACAACUGACUCGGAAAAUGUAAAAUGGAUAACUUACGUCCAAAAUGUCCCUGUAUUGUUGGCAUGUUCCCAGGUUCUGUUCAUGGAUUCUGUUUGCAGACAUGGCCGACUCUCUGUUUCAUUGGAUAAGUUUCAAAUAAUUCUGGCAACUUUUUGUUGUAAAAUUACUUUUUUAUCAUUUAAUCCAUAUGCCUCUUUCUCAUUACCUGCAAGUGCAAAAUUUUUAGGCUCGUCCUCUUAGACCUCUUUUUCUUCUCUAAAUAGAUAAAAUGGCAUUUCAUUUUUCUCUUGCGAGGGUGCAGGUUUAUGCUGAAACUUUCGGUUAGUUAAAUUGAUUGUCUUUGAAAUUGGAACUUGUACUUGAACUAGUUUGCAUUUUGAAUAUAUGAGAUUACCAACUGUAACGGGGAAUUGGUGCCGAAUUGAUUAUGUUAUCAGGUUUUUCAGUCUGUGUUCAUCUUUUAUUUCUGUUAAUAAUUAACAGCACAGCUUGUCUUCUCUACUUCUUUGGUUCCUGUCAAUUGUCAAAUAUAAACUUGUAGAGACAUUUUGUUUUGGCAUGGCACAUGCUAGAUUUUGUUUUUUGUUUGAAUGAUACUACACAUCUAAGUGAUUGUCCAGAAUUUUUUUCAUUCCUAGUGACAUGGCACUCAAUUGAAUGGUGACUCGUGAAUCAUGAUUGUGUGUGUUGGUCUUUGUUAUACUACGUGUUGGCAAGACAAAGUCUUUUGAAACUGACAAACUUUUCUCUAUGAAUAUUGAAGACAAUAUGAUAAGAUAAAAUUAAUCAAAAACAUCUAUUCUUGACAGGGCUGGAACGUCUGUUAUUAGUCCUCGCCUUCCAUUCUUGUUUCAUAUUCUUCUGCUAACAAAUCUUGAUCAUGAUAGUCUUCUCUUUUCUUUUGCAAUGGUGAGUUCACUCUCAGGAAUCAGAUCGAAUUUGAAGAAACUGCAAGGGACUCCAAAGCAAAUGGUGUAGAGCAACCUUCACUUAUCACGGGCACAGGAUUACUCUGACUUUCUGCAUUUUACUGUUGGCUAUGGUUUGAUGCAUUAUUUAUUGUUCUAAAAUACCAUCCUCGUUGGAAGUUCAAUCAUUACUGUUUUUAUUCCCCCUCUUUUUACUUGCUCUUGCUAUUUUUGUUGUCUGAAAUUAUCAGAAGUUCCAUGCAUGCUCCAAUAGAACGAGUAAUGUAAUGUAGGUGCUGACCAACUCCAAAUAAGUAGUUAGUUGCCUAGUAGUUGCUUUCCAUGAAAUUUGUUUUUGGUAUGAAUAAUGUUGUCUUAAUUUUACAAGCUUCCGUGCAACCCCUAAUUUAUUGGAUGUAUUAACCCAACCCCUCAUUUAAUAUUAGAUUUACCCAUUGAUUGAUGUUGACUCUUGAAAGUAAUGUACUAUUUAUUUAUUUGAUAUUAAUGAUUAUAUCAUUUAAAUAGUCUAUUCUAAGAUAUUAUUAAUUUUCUCAUUUAAAUAAAAUAUUAUUAUAUUUAUUUGAUAUUAAUGAUUAAUUAUAAUGAAUAGUCUAUUCUAAGAAAAUAUUAAUUUUCUACUAUGUUAUUAAUAAUAAUGUUUCAUUUCUAUUACUUUCAUCAAUAAUUUUUAAUUUAGAUAACUAAAAUUAAAACUAACAAAAAAUUAUGAUUUACAUAAUUAAUAAUAUUAAUAAUUAUUGUUAAUUUACAAAUAUAAUGAAAUAAAUAUUUCUUUUUUCAAAUAUAUUUUUUUAUUAAAUUUUUAAUUAAAAACUAUAUUUUUUAAAUAAGGAUAAAAUUAUAAUUUGAAACUAUUUACUCCCGCUCCGAGACAAAGUAAACACAUAAAUUGAAUUUUAAUUCUAAUUCCAUACUCCUAUUAUAGUGUAAGUAAAUAAUCUACUCUCACUCCACAUUCUCAAUCUCAGGAUUCUUACUUCUUAGGAUACCUCUCUAUUCCAAAAUGUAAACGCUAACAAAAUAUAAACCAUAUAGAGGCAUAUAUAUAUAGAAUCAUAUCAUAUCUCAAACGUCAAAUAAAAUUCUUAAUUAAGUAAACCAUAAGGUGAUUGCGUAUAAAAAAAAUUAAUAAUAUUAAUUUUCAUAAGCAUUUAUGCUUGUAGUAUUACUUUACUUUUUAUUAACCGUUGCUUCAACUUAUGGUGGAUAUUAAGAGAACAAUAAUAAUAGAGCUAUACACGUUUGCAUACUACCAAUUAAAUUAACACUAUAAUUUGGUUUACCAAACAGAUCCUUAAUAUCAUAAAUAAUUAAAUUAUUGGGGUUUUAAAAUGUAGACUUUGCAUGAUUUCUUUAUAUUUAGGUGCCAUGGCUCCUAUAAGUAAUGGCAGCCACACCUUUUGUUAUUGGUAAAAAACUUUUCUAGGUACAAUUUGUGAAUUUGUACAACGAGUGGUAUUAAACAUUUGAAGAAUGAACCGACAAUGUCAUAUCAAUAAUAAAGAAAAGAAAACGAAUUGUAUAAUACCCAGGUGUUCUAGUGUAACUUGGAUUCUUUUUCUUUAUAGGUGCACCUAUCAUGUGAUUUUUUUUUUUGAAAAAAGAAAACAAAAAAAAAAAGAACUCUUGAGAUUUUAAAAUUUUGUAAUUGCACUAUCUUUAAAUUACUAGGAGACUUCCUCUCCUCGAAGACACCUUUAAUCCAUAAAAGGUCCAAAAAAUAAUUCAUGAAAUGAAUUGAUUGUUUUAGAUAAGUUUCAAGUAUGCAUACCUUUUAUAACUCCAUAUUGCAUAACUCCUCAUUUCACUCAAUGGGUGCAUUUGUUCACUUUUUCUUUCUUGUAAAAUUUUGAAUGGCCCUAAUUCUAUAGAUUAUUAAUUAAGUGUUAUUAUUAUCAUUAUUGGCCGUAGAUGCAUAUGUGGGGUGGGGCCGUUUGGGGGGCAUGGAUCUCAAUACACCAGAGGGCCAUAAUAUUUAUUCUUUAAGAGGAACCACAACCAACAACAAUACUUUAAGUUCCAUUCCAUUUCACUUCUAUGCACUAGAUUGCAUAAACAACAUUGAUCAUCCAAGGUCAAAGCCUCUCAAAGACGUUAGUUGCAAGAAAAAGCAUGGGAUUGUGGUCAAAAUUUUCUUGCGGUGAAAGGCUCAUACAUUGAUGACAAUUACUAGAUUGUUUUGGGCCUCAAUGGUUUUAAUAUUAUUCUCUUAAAAACAUAUGUUGAUUAGAGACGAGAGGAAGAAGAUGAUCUGAUUCAGCCAACUGCAGAAGAUAGAGCACGCGGUGGAGUUCAGAUUUUGAAUUCUCUUGUUAAGUUGUUUUUAAUUUAUUGCAAGGUAGAAUACGUUGCUUUCUUAAAAAAAUACUUUGAACAUCAUAUUUUUGUAUUACAAAUAUACCAAAAUUAAACUAUUUUUUUCUUUAUUAGUAUAAACUAAAUUUUGCCAGAAUGGUUGUCCUUGUAGGUGGAAUUCUAUUAUGAAACUAAUAGUCCUUCCUAGUGCUAACUAUCACUUUGAACAAAUGUGGCAUCUCUAACAACAACUUCCAAACUUGCAACUACCUGCUUCUCAGCAUUAGAAGCGAUAUCCACCUUGGCUUUCAACUAGCUGUAAUUAGGAGGAGGGUACCAUUGUUUCUGUUUGUCAAUUUCCUUCCUUGAAGCAUAAGCCUUAAUUAGGAGGAGGGCAAGCUUCCAAAUAACAUUCCAAAUAGUAUUGUGAAAAUUUUUCACCCUUUUGGUCAUAAAAAAGAACCUUAUUUCUAGUUCUCUAUUAACAAUUUUAUCACUUUAAGAUCUCUCUUUACUAGAAAUAUCAUAUAUAUUAAUUUGUUGUUAAUAUAAAUACGACUAAAUAUUUAUAAUUUAAAGAUAACUGUUGAAUGGAGGUUGUCUCACACACACACACACACACAAAAGUAUUUAAAAGCAACGGUGAUAUCAUAAUUUUUUGUACUGAUAUGAGAAUAUCAGUAUUACAAUAUCAAAAGUAUUACAAUAGAUUUUUUUUCCGCAUCACAAAAAGUUUGAAUUCAAGAAUAAAUAAGCAAUAUCGGGAGCAAAUUUUACAAAAAGUCUCCGGGACAUGUCAUAUGAAUUUGUGAUACGAAAAAUAGUAUACUAGUCAAUAGAUCUUCUUUCCACAUUACAAAAAAUUAGAAAUGCGAUCUAAAUCGAUAUCAAUUACUAAUUUUAUAGUGAAUGGGUCCUUCAUGAAAACAAUGAAUAUUUUUAUAAUUUAAGAAAUUAUUAGCCAUUUACCCUAAGUUUACUUUGUGUCCAAAAAUACUACGGAAACUUUAACUUGUUUAGUUUUUUACCUUAAUUUAUAAUUUAUAUUAGUCGCUCAUUAAAAAAAAUAGAAUUACCUCAUAAAAUGAUAAAAUAAAAACAAACACAAAUGACAAUACUAGUUGCUUUAUAAGGAUAAUCCAGUCCUUUCGGCACCAAAUUACUGGUUAAAUUAUUUUAAAUAUUAUAAAUUAUUUUUAGAUUGAGUGACGAAGGAUCAUUUUAAUACUCAUGGCCAUUUAAUCUAUCUAAACAUGAUAUUUUGAGUAGACUUAUGUUUGCUUAGGAGGCUGAUGUAAAAAAAGUGGCACUUUUAUUCAACUGAAUAAAUUUCACAAUUUAAAUUAGAAAACGAUAAAAUUCCAUAAUUAACUAUUAUUUGAACUAAUUGAAUCGGGAGCCAUCAUUUGUAGCGGCCCCAAAAGCAUAACAUUAUUGUGAGUAAUGUAUCCUACUUGCAAAAUAAACGGCAGAAGGCGGUUUGGGGACGGAUUAUCGAGGUAUUUGUUAAUAUCCGGAAAUGGAAAGAAAAGGGCAAAUAAAAUUUUAACUUAUUAUUAUUAUUAAAGAUUAGACAAAUAAAGGAGCUGUUUGAGUGUAAAUCUCAAAUCAAACCGUACCCAUCGCAAGUAAUGCAUGUGCACAUAAAAUUCUAUUUUGGUAAUUCUUUUCUUCUUCUUUAACCCCAAAUAAUCAAAAGCUCUCCAAUGGCUUUCGUAUCCACAACUCGUUCACUUCAUUUUACUUCAAUUUCAAUAUCAGCUCUUAGAUUUAAUUUCUCAUCUUCGUUCCCUCAUACCGGAAAACCCAAAUCUUCAAUUUCGGAAAAUGAACCCUCGUAUCCGACCACAACAGCUAAACUGAAGGAGUCGCUACGACGGACGGUCAAAGACCGAGCCUCACUCGAAAAAUUCCUCAGAGAAAGGUUCAAAUCAUCCGGUGAAGGUGAUAUUACUACUAUUACUCCUAAUGAAGCCUUUUGUAUCUUUGAUUACUUGCUCAAUAUGCGCCCUUCUCCCCCUCCUCUCACUUCCUUCAAUAUUUUGUUUGGUUGUCUUGCUAAGACUAAACAUUAUGAUACUCUCCUUUCACUCUUCAAGAGACUCAAUUCAACUGGGUUGUUUCCAGAUCUUUAUACUUAUAAUAUCUUGAUUAACUGCUUUUGCAAAAUGGGUCGAGUUUCUCAUGGUUUUGUUGUUCUUGGGAGGAUCCUCAGGUCUUGUUUUACUCCAGAUGCUGUGACCUUUAAUUCUUUGAUUAAAGGUUUGUGUGCGGAGAGUAGCAUAAUGGAGGCUGCCGCAUUGUUUACGAAACUUAGAGUGUUUGGUUGUGAGCCUAAUGUCAUUACGUACAGUACUUUAAUUAAUGGAUUGUGUCGAACUGGCCAUACAAUUGUUGCUCUAAAUUUAUUUGAAGAGAUGGCUAAUGGAAAUGGGGAAUUUGGUGUUGUUUGUGAGCCAAACACUGUUACAUACACUACUAUUAUAGAUGGUCUUUGUAAGGAAGGUUUUGUGGACAAGGCCAAGGAACUGUUUCUGCAGAUGAAGGAUAACAAUAUUAACCCUAACGUGGUUACCUAUACCUCUGUGAUUCGUGGUUUUUGUUAUGCUAAUGAUUGGAAUGAGACCAAGUGUUUGCUAAUUGAGAUGAUGGACCAAGGGGUACAGCCUAAUGUUGUGACUUUCAAUGUCAUCAUGGAUGAGCUCUGCAAGAAUGGAAAGAUGGAUGAGGCAAGUCGGUUGUUGGACCUGAUGAUUCAGUUUGGUGUGCGUCCAAAUGCUUUUGUCUAUAACACAUUAAUGGACGGGUUUUGCUUGACAGGUAGAGUUAAUCGUGCGGAGGAACUAUUUGUUUCUAUGGAGAGUAUGGGUUGCAAACAUACUGUUUUUAGUUACAGUAUUUUGAUAAAUGGUUACUGCAAGAAUAAGGAAAUAGAGGGAGCGUUAACCCUUUAUAGCGAAAUGCUCUCUAAAGGAAUUAAGCCAGAUGUUGUUAUAUAUAACACCUUGUUUAUUGGCCUUUUUGAAAUACACCAGGUUGAGCGUGCUUUCAAGCUGUUUGAUGAGAUGCAAUGUGAUGGCGUGGCAGCUGAUACCUGGGCAUAUAGAACCUUUAUUGAUGGGCUCUGCAAGAAUGGUUAUAUUGUAGAGGCAGUUGAACUAUUUCGUACUUUGAGAAUUCUCAAGUGUGAACUUGAUAUUCGAGCCUACAACUGCCUCAUUGAUGGAUUAUGUAAAUCCGGCAGACUCGAAAUUGCAUGGGAACUAUUUCGUAGUUUGCCUCGUGUAGGCCUAAUGGCAGAUGUUGUAACAUAUAACAUCAUGAUCCAUGGGCUUUGUAAUGAUGGGCAAAUGGACAAGGCACGUGGUUUAUUUCUUGAUAUGGAAGCAAAGGGUUUGGAACCCAAUUUUGUCAUAUUUAAUACGCUUAUGCUGGGUUUCAUCCGCUGUAAUGAGACAUCAAAAGUUAUUGAACUCCUUCACAGAAUGGAUAAGAGAAAUGUAAUGCCAGACGCAUCUAUACUCUCAAUUGUUGUGGACUUGCUUGUUAAGAAUGAAAUUAGUUUAAACUCGAUUCCACAAUUCCAGAGACACAAGUCAAUGAGCUGAAUGCUGAUUUACUUGCAUGUUUUUUCUGCCUAAAAUCUGGAUCUGGAGAAUCCCAUUCUUAUUACAACACGUGAAGUAUUGUUGCGUAGUGAUGGCAUGUCCCAGGUUCUGUUCAUGGAUUC
rnacentral:lncRNA from 1 species